rnacentral:rRNA from 1 species
UACGUAGGGGGCAAGCGUUGUUCGGAAUUACUGGGCGUAAAGGGCUCGUAGGCGGCCAACUAAGUCAUACGUGAAAUCCCCCGGCUUAACCGGGGAACUGCGUCUGAUACUGGAUGGCUUGAGUUCGGGAGAGGGAUGCGGAAUUCCAGGUGUAGCGGUGAAAUGCGUAGAUAUCUGGAGGAACACCGGUGGCGAAGGCGGCAUCCUGGACCGACACUGACGCUGAGGAGCGAAAGCCAGGGGAGCAAACGGG